GAUGAACGCUGGCGGCGUGCCUAAUACAUGCAAGUCGAGCGAACAGAUGAGGAGCUUGCUCCUCUGACGUUAGCGGCGGACGGGUGAGUAACACGUGGAUAACCUACCUAUAAGACUGGGAUAACUUCGGGAAACCGGAGCUAAUACCGGGUAAUAUAUUGAACUGCAUGGUUCAAUAGUGAAAGACGGUUUUGCUGUCACUUAUAGAUGGAUCCGCGCCGCAUUAGCUAGUUGGUAAGGUAACGGCUUACCAAGGCAACGAUGCGUAGCCGACAUGAGAAGGUGAGCUGGCACACCUGAACUGAGACACGGUCCAGACUGCUACGAGAGGCAGCCGUAGGGCAUCUUCCGCAAUGGGCGAAAGCCUGACGGAGCAACGCCGCGUGAGUGAUGCAGGUCUUCGGAUCGUAAAACUCUGUUAUUAGGGUAGAACAAAUGUGUAAGUAACUAUGCACGUCUUGACGGUACCUAAUCAGAAAGCCACGGCUAACUACGUG
rnacentral:rRNA from 1 species